rnacentral:rRNA from 2 species
GGAAUCUUCCGCAAUGGACGAAAGUCUGACGGAGCAACGCCGCGUGAGUGAUGAAGGUUUUCGGAUCGUAAAGCUCUGUUGUUAGGGAAGAACAAGUACCGUUCGAAUAGGGCGGUACCUUGACGGUACCUAACCAGAAAGCCACGGCUAACUACGUGCCAGCAGCCGCGGUAAUACGUAGGUGGCAAGCGUUGUCCGGAAUUAUUGGGCGUAAAGGGCUCGCAGGCGGUUCCUUAAGUCUGAUGUGAAAGCCCCCGGCUCAACCGGGGAGGGUCAUUGGAAACUGGGGAACUUGAGUGCAGAAGAGGAGAGUGGAAUUCCACGUGUAGCGGUGAAAUGCGUAGAGAUGUGGAGGAACACCAGUGGCGAAGGCGACUCUCUGGUCUGUAACUGACGCUGAGGAGCGAAAGCGUGGGGAGCGAACAGGAUUAGAUACCCUGGUAGUCCACGCCGUAAACGAUGAGUGCUAAGUGUUAGGGGGUUUCCGCCCCUUAGUGCUGCAGCUAACGCAUUAAGCACUCCGCCUGGGGAGUACGGUCGCAAGACUGAAACUCAAAGGAAUUGACGGGGGCCCGCACAAGCGGUGGAGCAUGUGGUUUAAUUCGAAGCAACGCGAAGAACCUUACCAGGUCUUGACAUCCUCUGACAAUCCUAGAGAUAGGACGUCCCCUUCGGGGGCAGAGUGACAGGUGGUGCAUGGUUGUCGUCAGCUCGUGUCGUGAGAUGUUGGGUUAAGUCCCGCAACGAGCGCAACCCUUGAUCUUAGUUGCCAGCAUUCAGUUGGGCACUCUAAGGUGACUGCCGGUGACAAACCGGAGGAAGGUGGGGAUGACGUCAAAUCAUCAUGCCCCUUAUGACCUGGGCUACACACGUGCUACAAUGGACAGAACAAAGGGCAGCGAAACCGCGAGGUUAAGCCAAUCCCACAAAUCUGUUCUCAGUUCGGAUCGCAGUCUGCAACUCGACUGCGUGAAGCUGGAAUCGCUAGUAAUCGCGGUCA